rnacentral:rRNA from 1 species
GACGUAGGGCGCGAGCGUUGUCCGGAUUUAUUGGGCGUAAAGAGCUCGUAGGCGGCUUGUCGCGUCGACUGUGAAAUCCCGCGGCUCAACUGCGGGUCUGCAGUCGAUACGGGCAGGCUAGAGUUCGGUAGGGGAGACUGGAAUUCCUGGUGUGGCGGUGAAAUGCGCAGAUAUCAGGAGGAACACCGGUGGCGAAGGCGGGACUCUGGGCCGAUACUGACGCUGAGGAGCGAAAGCGUGGGGAGCAAACAGG